AUGCUCACUUCAGCAGCACAUAUACUAAAAUUGGAAUGAUACAAAGAUUAGCAUGGCCAGUGCUCAGGGAUGACACACAAAUUCGUGAAGCAUUCCAUAUUUUU